rnacentral:rRNA from 1 species
GAUGAACGCUGGCGGCGUGCCUAAUACAUGCAAGUCGAGCGAACAGACGAGGAGCUUGCUCCUCUGACGUUAGCGGCGGACGGGUGAGUAACACGUGGAUAACCUACCUAUAAGACUGGGAUAACUUCGGGAAACCGGAGCUAAUACCGGAUAAUAUAUUGAACCGCAUGGUUCAAUAGUGAAAGACGGUUUUGCUGUCACUUAUAGAUGGAUCCGCGCCGCAUUAGAUAGUUGGUAAGGUAACGGCUUACCAAGGCGACGAUGCGUAGCCGACCUGAGAGGGUGAUAGGCCGCCCUAGAGCUGAGACAGGGUCCAGAGUCCUGCGAGAGGCAGCAGUAGGGAAUGUUACGCAAUGGGCGAAAGCAUGGCGGAGCAACGCAGCGUGAGUGAUGAAGGUCUUCGGAUCGUAAAGCUCUGUUAUGAGGGAAGAACAAAUGUGUAAGUAACUAUGCACGUAUUGACGGUACCUGAUCAGAAAGCACCGGCUAACUACGUG